rnacentral:rRNA from 1 species
AGCGUACACGGUGGAUGCCCUGGCAGUCAGAGGCGAUGAAGGACGUGCUAAUCUGCGAAAAGCGCCGGCGAGGUGAUAUGAACCCUUGACCCGGCGAUGUCCGAAUGGGGAAACCCAGUGCAAUCCGUUGCACUAUCGUUAACUGAAUACAUAGGUUAACGAGGCGAACCGGGGGAACUGAAACAUCUAAGUACCCCGAGGAAAAGAAAUCAACCGAGAUUCCCCCAGUAGCGGCGAGCGAACGGGGAGCAGCCCGGAGUCUGAAUCAGCUUGUGUGUUAGUGGAACGGUCUGGAAAGUCCGACGGUACAGGGUGAUAGUCCCGUACACGAAAGCACACUUGCUGUGAACUCGAAGAGUAGGGCGGGACACGUGGUAUCCUGUCUGAAUAUGGGGGGACCAUCCUCCAAGGCUAAAUACUCCUGACUGACCGAUAGUGAACCAGUACCGUGAGGGAAAGGCGAAAAGAACCCCGGCGAGGGGAGUGAAAAAGAACCUGAAACCGUGUACGUACAAGCAGUGGGAGCCUCUUUAUGGGGUGACUGCGUACCUUUUGUAUAAUGGGUCAGCGACUUAUAUUCUGUAGCAAGGUUAACCGUAUAGGGGAGCCGAAGGGAAACCGAGUCUUAACUGGGCGUUAAGUUGCAGGGUAUAGACCCGAAACCCGGUGAUCUAGCCAUGGGCAGGUUGAAGGUUGGGUAACACUAACUGGAGGACCGAACCGACUAAUGUUGAAAAAUUAGCGGAUGACCUGUGGCUGGGGGUGAAAGGCCAAUCAAACCGGGAGAUAGCUGGUUCUCCCCGAAAGCUAUUUAGGUAGCGCCUCGUGAACUCAUCUUCGGGGGUAGAGCACUGUUUCGGCUAGGGGGCCAUCCCGGCUUACCAACCCGAUGCAAACUACGAAUACCGAAGAAUGUUAUCACGGGAGACACACGGCGGGUGCUAACGUCCGUCGUGAAGAGGGAAACAACCCAGACCGCCAGCUAAGGUCCCAAAGUCAUGGUUAAGUGGGAAACGAUGUGGGAAGGCACAGACAGCCAGGAUGUUGGCUUAGAAGCAGCCAUCAUUUAAAGAAAGCGUAAUAGCUCACUGGUCGAGUCGGCCUGCGCGGAAGAUGUAACGGGGCUAAACCAUGCACCGAAGCUGCGGCAGCGACACUAUGUGUUGUUGGGUAGGGGAGCGUUCUGUAAGCCGUUGAAGGUGGCCUGUGAGGGUUGCUGGAGGUAUCAGAAGUGCGAAUGCUGACAUAAGUAACGAUAAAGCGGGUGAAAAGCCCGCUCGCCGGAAGACCAAGGGUUCCUGUCCAACGUUAAUCGGGGCAGGGUGAGUCGACCCCUAAGGCGAGGCCGAAAGGCGUAGUCGAUGGGAAACAGGUUAAUAUUCCUGUACUUGGUGUUACUGCGAAGGGGGGACGGAGAAGGCUAUGUCAGCCGGGCGACGGUUGUCCCGGUUUAAGCAUGUAGGCGGAGGUUCCAGGUAAAUCCGGUACCUUUUAACGCUGAGGUGUGAUGACGAGGCACUACGGUGCUGAAGUGAUAAAUGCCCUGCUUCCAGGAAAAGCCUCUAAGCAUCAGGUAACACGAAAUCGUACCCCAAACCGACACAGGUGGUCAGGUAGAGAAUACCAAGGCGCUUGAGAGAACUCGGGUGAAGGAACUAGGCAAAAUGGUGCCGUAACUUCGGGAGAAGGCACGCUGAUGUGUAGGUGAAGCCCCUGCGGGCGGAGCUGAAAUCAGUCGAAGAUACCAGCUGGCUGCAACUGUUUAUUAAAAACACAGCACUGUGCAAACACGAAAGUGGACGUAUACGGUGUGACGCCUGCCCGGUGCCGGAAGGUUAAUUGAUGGGGUUAGCUGUAAGGCGAAGCUCUUGAUCGAAGCCCCGGUAAACGGCGGCCGUAACUAUAACGGUCCUAAGGUAGCGAAAUUCCUUGUCGGGUAAGUUCCGACCUGCACGAAUGGCGUAAUGAUGGCCAGGCUGUCUCCACCCGAGACUCAGUGAAAUUGAACUCGCUGUGAAGAUGCAGUGUACCCGCGGCAAGACGGAAAGACCCCGUGAACCUUUACUAUAGCUUGACACUGAACACUGGUCCUUGAUGUGUAGGAUAGGUGGGAGGCUUUGAAGCGUGGACGCCAGUCUGCGUGGAGCCAACCUUGAAAUACCACCCUUUAAUGGCUGGUGUUCUAACGUAGACCCGUAAUCCGGGUUGCGGACAGUGUCUGGUGGGUAGUUUGACUGGGGCGGUCUCCUCCCAAAGAGUAACGGAGGAGCACGAAGGUUGGCUAAUCCUGGUCGGACAUCAGGAGGUUAGUGCAAUGGCAUAAGCCAGCUUGACUGCGAGCGUGACGGCGCGAGCAGGUGCGAAAGCAGGUCAUAGUGAUCCGGUGGUUCUGAAUGGAAGGGCCAUCGCUCAACGGAUAAAAGGUACUCCGGGGAUAACAGGCUGAUACCGCCCAAGAGUUCAUAUCGACGGCGGUGUUUGGCACCUCGAUGUCGGCUCAUCACAUCCUGGGGCUGAAGUAGGUCCCAAGGGUAUGGCUGUUCGCCAUUUAAAGUGGUACGCGAGCUGGGUUUAGAACGUCGUGAGACAGUUCGGUCCCUAUCUGCCGUGGGCGCUGGAGAAUUGAGGGGGGCUGCUCCUAGUACGAGAGGACCGGAGUGGACGCAUCACUGGUGUUCGGGUUGUCAUGCCAAUGGCACUGCCCGGUAGCUAAAUGCGGAAGAGAUAAGUGCUGAAAGCAUCUAAGCACGAAACUUGCCCCGAGAUGAGUUCU